rnacentral:rRNA from 1 species
GAUGAACGCUGGCGGCGUGCCUAAUACAUGCAAGUCGAGCGAACAGACGAGGAGCUUGCUCCUCUGACGUUAGCGGCGGACGGGUGAGUAACACGUGGAUAACCUACCUAUAAGACUGGGAUAACUUCGGGAAACCGGAGCUAAUACCGGAUAAUAUAUUGAACCGCAUGGUUCAAUAGUGAAAGACGGUUUUGCUGUCACUUAUAGAUGGAUCCGCGCCGCAUUAGCUAGUUGGUAAGGUAACGGCUUACCAAGGCAACGAUGCGUAGCCGACCUGAGAGGGUGAUCGGCCACACUGGAACUGAGCCACGGUCCAGAGUCCUACGGGAGGCAGCAGUAGGGAAUCUUCCGCAAUGGGCGAAAGCCUGACGGAGCAACGCCGCGUGAGUGAUGAAGGUCUUCGGAUCGUAAAACUCUGUUAUUAGGGAAGAACAAAUGUGUAAGUAACUAUGCACGUCUUGACGGUACCUAAUCAGAAAGCCACGGCUAACUACGUG